AGGGCGCACGGUGGAUGCCUUGGCACUAGGAGCCGACGAAGGACGUGACAAACGACGAUAUGCCUUGGGUAGCUGUAAGUAAGCGAUGAUCCAGGGAUUUCCGAAUGGGGGAACCCAACAGGUAGUACCUGUUACCCACAUCUGUUAAGGAUGUGAGGAGGAAGACGCAGUGAACUGAAACAUCUAAGUAGCUGCAGGAAGAGAAAGCAAAAGCGAUUGCCUUAGUAGCGGCGAGCGAAACGGCAGGAGGGCAAACCGAAGAGUUUACUCUUCGGGGUUGUAGGACUGCAAUGUGGACUCAAAGAUUAUAGAAGAAUGAUUUGGGAAGAUCAGCCAAAGAGAGUAAUAGCCUCGUAUUUAAAAUAGUCUUUGUACCUAGCAGUAUCCUGAGUACGGCGGGACACGUGAAAUCCCGUCGGAAUCUGGGAGGACCAUCUCCCAACCCUAAAUACUCCCUAGUGACCGAUAGUGAACCAGUACCGUGAGGGAAAGGUGAAAAGCACCCCGGGAGGGGAGUGAAAUAGAACCUGAAACCGUGUGCCUACAACAAGUUCGAGCCCGUUAAUGGGUGAGAGCGUGCCUUUUGUAGAAUGAACCGGCGAGUUACGUUAUGAUGCGAGGUUAAGUUGAAGAGACGGAGCCGUAGGGAAACCGAGUCUGAAUAGGGCGCCUUAGUAUCAUGACGUAGACCCGAAACCAUGUGACCUACCCAUGAGCAGGUUGAAGGUGCGGUAAGACGCACUGGAGGACCGAACCAGGGCACGUUGAAAAGUGCUUGGAUGACUUGUGGGUAGCGGAGAAAUUCCAAACGAACUUGGAGAUAGCUGGUUCUCUCCGAAAUAGCUUUAGGGCUAGCGUCGACAUUAGAGAUUCUUGGAGGUAGAGCACUGUUUGGGUGAGGGGUCCAUCCCGGAUUACCAAUCUCAGAUAAACUCCGAAUGCCAAUGAAUUAUGGUCGGCAGUCAGACUGCGAGUGCUAAGAUCCGUAGUCGAAAGGGAAACAGCCCAGACCACCAGCUAAGGUCCCAAAAUAAUUGUUAAGUGGAAAAGGAUGUGGGGUUGCACAGACAACUAGGAUGUUAGCUUAGAAGCAGCUAUUCAUUCAAAGAGUGCGUAAUAGCUCACUAGUCGAGUGACCCUGCGCCGAAAAUGUACCGGGGCUAAAACAAUUUACCGAAGCUGUGGAUACCUUUAUAGGUAUGGUAGGAGAGCGUUCUAUGUGUGAUGAAGGUAUACCGUGAGGAGUGCUGGAACGCAUAGAAGUGAGAAUGCCGGUAUGAGUAGCGAAAGACAGGUGAGAAUCCUGUCCACCGUAAGACUAAGGUUUCCAGGGGAAGGCUCGUCCGCCCUGGGUUAGUCGGGACCUAAGGAGAGACCGAAAGGUGUAUCCGAUGGACAACAGGUUGAUAUUCCUGUACUAGAGUAUGUAGUGAUGGAGGGACGCAGUAGGCUAACUAAAGCAGACGAUUGGAAGAGUCUGUCUAAGCAGUGAGGUGUGAAUUGAGUCAAAUGCUUAAUUCUAUAACAUUGAGCUGUGAUGGGGAGCGAAGUUUAGUAGCGAAGUUAGUGACGUCACACUGCCAAGAAAAGCUUCUAGCGUUUAAACAUACUCUACCCGUACCGCAAACCGACACAGGUAGUCGAGGCGAGUAGCCUCAGGUGAGCGAGAGAACUCUCGUUAAGGAACUCGGCAAAAUGACCCCGUAACUUCGGGAGAAGGGGUGCUGACUUAAAGUCAGCCGCAGUGAAUAGGCCCAAGCAACUGUUUAUCAAAAACACAGCUCUCUGCUAAAUCGUAAGAUGAUGUAUAGGGGGUGACGCCUGCCCGGUGCUGGAAGGUUAAGAGGAGUGCUUAGCGUAAGCGAAGGUAUGAAUUGAAGCCCCAGUAAACGGCGGCCGUAACUAUAACGGUCCUAAGGUAGCGAAAUUCCUUGUCGGGUAAGUUCCGACCCGCACGAAAGGCGUAAUGAUUUGGGCACUGUCUCAACGAGAGACUCGGUGAAAUUUUAGUACCUGUGAAGAUGCAGGUUACCCGCGACAGGACGGAAAGACCCCAUGGAGCUUUACUGCAGUUUGAUAUUGAGUGUCUGUACCACAUGUACAGGAUAGGUAGGAGUCUAAGAAAUCGGGACGCCAGUUUCGAAGGAGACGCUGUUGGGAUACUACCCUUGUGUUAUGGCCACUCUAACCCAGAUAGGUGAUCCCUAUCGGAGACAGUGUCUGACGGGCAGUUUGACUGGGGCGGUCGCCUCCUAAAAGGUAACGGAGGCGCCCAAAGGUUCCCUCAGAAUGGUUGGAAAUCAUUCGCAGAGUGUAAAGGUAUAAGGGAGCUUGACUGCGAGAGCUACAACUCGAGCAGGGACGAAAGUCGGGCUUAGUGAUCCGGUGGUUCCGUAUGGAAGGGCCAUCGCUCAACGGAUAAAAGCUACCCUGG
rnacentral:rRNA from 1 species